UACAGAGGUCUCAAGCGUUGUUCGGAUUCAUUGGGCGUAAAGGGUGCGUAGGUGGCGCUGUAAGUCGGGUGUGAAAUUUCGGAGCUUAACUCCGAAACUGCAUUCGAUACUGCGGUGCUUGAGGACUGGAGAGGAGACUGGAAUUUACGGUGUAGCGGUGAAAUGCGUAGAUAUCGUAAGGAAGACCAGUGGCGAAGGCGGGUCGUCUGGACAGUUCCUGACGCUGAGGCACGAAGGUCAGGGGAGCAAACGGG
rnacentral:rRNA from 1 species